rnacentral:rRNA from 1 species
UUAAGUGACUAAGCGUACACGGUGGAUGCCUAGGCAGUCAGAGGCGAUGAAGGACGUGCUAAUCUGCGAUAAGCGUCGGUGAGCUGAUAUGAAGCAUUAUUAGCCGGCGAUGUCCGAAUGGGGAAACCCAGUGCAAUCCGUUGCACUAUCGUUAAGUGAAUACAUAGCUUAACGAGGCGAACCAGGGGAACUGAAACAUCUAAGUACCCUGAGGAAAAGAAAUCAACCGAGAUUCCCCUAGUAGCGGCGAGCGAACGGGGAAGAGCCCAGAACCUGAAUCAGUUUGUGCAUUAGUGGAAGCGUCUGGAAAGUCGCGCGAUACCGGGUGAUAGCCCCGUACACGAAGGUGCACAGCUGUGAGUUCGAUGAGUAGGGCGGGACACGUGUUAUCCUGUCUGAAUAUGGGGGGACCAUCCUCCAAGGCUAAAUACUCCUGACUGACCGAUAGUGAACCAGUACCGUGAGGGAAAGGCGAAAAGAACCCCGGCGAGGGGAGUGAAAUAGAACCUGAAACCGUGUACGUACAAGCAGUGGGAGCAUCCUUCGGGGUGUGACUGCGUACCUUUUGUAUAAUGGGUCAGCGACUUAUAUUUUGUAGCAAGGUUAACCGAAUAGGGGAGCCGUAGGGAAACCGAGUCUUAACUGGGCGUCUAGUUGCAAGGUAUAGACCCGAAACCCGGUGAUCUAGCCAUGGGCAGGUUGAAGGUUGGGUAACACUAACUGGAGGACCGAACCGACUAAUGUUGAAAAAUUAGCGGAUGACUUGUGGCUGGGGGUGAAAGGCCAAUCAAACCGGGAGAUAGCUGGUUCUCCCCGAAAGCUAUUUAGGUAGCGCCUCGUGAACUCAUCUUCGGGGGUAGAGCACUGUUUCGGCUAGGGGGUCAUCCCGACUUACCAACCCGAUGCAAACUACGAAUACCGAAGAAUGUUAUCACGGGAGACACACGGCGGGUGCUAACGUCCGUCGUGAAGAGGGAAACAACCCAGACCGCCAGCUAAGGUCCCAAAGUCAUGGUUAAGUGGGAAACGAUGUGGGAAGGCAUAGACAGCCAGGAUGUUGGCUUAGAAGCAGCCAUCAUUUAAAGAAAGCGUAAUAGCUCACUGGUCGAGUCGGCCUGCGCGGAAGAUGUAACGGGGCUAAACCAUGCACCGAAGCUGCGGCAGCGACACUAUGUGUUGUUGGGUAGGGGAGCGUUCUGUAAGCCUGUGAAGGUGGCCUGUGAGGGCUGCUGGAGGUAUCAGAAGUGCGAAUGCUGACAUAAGUAACGAUAAAGCGGGUGAAAAGCCCGCUCGCCGGAAGACCAAGGGUUCCUGUCCAACGUUAAUCGGGGCAGGGUAAGUCGACCCCUAAGGCGAGGCCGAAAGGCGUAGUCGAUGGGAAACAGGUUAAUAUUCCUGUACUUGGUGUUAUUGCGAAGGGGGGACGGAGAAGGCUAGACCGGCCGGGCGACGGUUGUCCCGGUUUAAGCGUGUAGGUGUGAUGACCUGGCAAAUCCGGUUAUCUUUAACACUGAGGCGUGAUGACGAGGCACUACGGUGCUGAAGUGGUUAAUGCCCUGCUUCCAGGAAAAGCCUCUAAGCUCUAGAUAACACUGAAUCGUACCCCAAACCGACACAGGUGGUCAGGUAGAGAAUACCAAGGCGCUUGAGAGAACUCGGGUGAAGGAACUAGGCAAAAUGGUGCCGUAACUUCGGGAGAAGGCACGCUGGCAUGUAGGUGAAGUCCCUCGCGGAUGGAGCCGAAGCCAGUCGAAGAUACCAGCUGGCUGCAACUGUUUAAUAAAAACACAGCACUCUGCAAACACGAAAGUGGACGUAUAGGGUGUGACGCCUGCCCGGUGCUGGAAGGUUAAUUGAUGGGGUCAGCCGCAAGGCGAAGCUCUUGAUCGAAGCCCCAGUAAACGGCGGCCGUAACUAUAACGGUCCUAAGGUAGCGAAAUUCCUUGUCGGGUAAGUUCCGACCUGCACGAAUGGCGUAAUGAUGGCCAGGCUGUCUCCACCCGAGACUCAGUGAAAUUGAACUCGCUGUGAAGAUGCAGUGUACCCGCGGCAAGACGGAAAGACCCCGUGAACCUUUACUAUAGCUUGACACUGAACAUUGAACCUUGAUGUGUAGGAUAGGUGGGAGGCUUUGAAGUGUGGACGCCAGUCUGCAUGGAGCCGACCUUGAAAUACCACCCUUUAAUGUUUGAUGUUCUAACCUGGUCCCGUAAUCCGGGAUAGGGACAGUGUCUGGUGGGUAGUUUGACUGGGGCGGUCUCCUCCCAAAGAGUAACGGAGGAGCACGAAGGUUAGCUAAUCCUGGUCGGACAUCAGGAGGUUAGUGCAAAGGCAUAAGCUAGCUUGACUGCGAGAGUGACGGCUCGAGCAGGUGCGAAAGCAGGUCUUAGUGAUCCGGUGGUUCUGAAUGGAAGGGCCAUCGCUCAACGGAUAAAAGGUACUCCGGGGAUAACAGGCUGAUACCGCCCAAGAGUUCAUAUCGACGGCGGUGUUUGGCACCUCGAUGUCGGCUCAUCACAUCCUGGGGCUGAAGUAGGUCCCAAGGGUAUGGCUGUUCGCCAUUUAAAGUGGUACGCGAGCUGGGUUUAGAACGUCGUGAGACAGUUCGGUCCCUAUCUGCCGUGGGCGUUGGAAGAUUGAGAGGGGCUGCUCCUAGUACGAGAGGACCGGAGUGGACGCACCGCUGGUGUUCGGGUUGUGAUGCCAAUUGCAUUGCCCGGUAGCUACGUGCGGAAGAGAUAAGCGCUGAAAGCAUCUAAGCGCGAAACUUGCCUCGAGAUGAGUCUUCCCUUGGACCUUGAGUCCACUAAAGGAACGUUUAAGACUAAGACGUUGAUAGGCUGGGUGUGUAAGCGUAGCGAUACGUUGAGCUAACCAGUACUAAUGAUCCGUGAGGCUUAACCUU